rfam:Daphnia magna strain Xinb3 scaffold00687, whole genome shotgun sequence.
GUAGCUCAAUGGUAGAGCGCUGGACUGGAAUACUCCAUACCUUGGGUUCGAAUCCCAUC